AGCGAACGCUGGCGGCAGGCCUAACACAUGCAAGUCGAACGAACCUUUCGGGGUUAGUGGCGGACGGGUGAGUAACACGUGGGAACGUGCCUUUAGGUUCGGAAUAACUCAGGGAAACUUGUGCUAAUACCGAAUGUGCCCUUCGGGGGAAAGAUGAAUCGCCUUUAGAGCGGCCCGCGUCUGAUUAGCUAGUUGGUUGAGGUAAUGGCUCACCAAGGCGACGAUCAGUAGCUGGUCUGAGAGGAUGAUCAGCCACAUUGGGACUGAGACACGGCCCAAACUCCUACGGGAGGCAGCAGUGGGGAAUCUUGCGCAAUGGGCGAAAGCCUGACGCAGCCAUGCCGCGUGAAUGAUGAAGGUCUUAGGAUUGUAAAAUUCUUUCACCGGGGACGAUAAUGACGGUACCCGGAGAAGAAGCCCCGGCUAACUUCGUG
rnacentral:rRNA from 1 species